rnacentral:lncRNA from 1 species
GUGCUAGACACAAGCUCAGAAGCCCCGUCUUUGUCCUCAAGGAGCUUACAGUCAGGCAGGUAGCUUAAACAUUCCUCACUGGCACAGGCAGAAAAACAGCCUCCUCUUCUCUGUGCUCUGGUUUCUCACCUGGCUCAUGGGGAAUGCAAUUCUCCAGCUACGCAGCUGUUGUCAUCAAAUAUUCACUGACAGCUUACCUUGUGCCAGGCACUGGACUUUGUAGACAUCAUCAGGUCAAAUCCUAGAAAUAGCCCUGAGAAGCGGCCACUCUUACUGUCCCCACUUGAUAGGUCAGGAAACUGAGGCUUACAGGGCCCAUGAGGUGCUCCAUUCCCUCAGGCUGUGACAGCGCCAGGAUGCAAACCCAGGCAGUCUGGCUUGGAGCCUCUGCUCUUAAUCACCGAGGUCUCUGCCCAGGCAGCCCAGCCUGACACAAGCCCUCUGCCGGAAGCAAUGUGGAAAUCAAAGGGGCAGGGAGGAUAUAAACAGUUUUUAAAUCAUCCGAAAUGAAUUCUUCCUCAUCUAGUUCAACACCAGGCAACAAGAACGUCAAGGAAGGAAACAGGAAACAAAGACGAUCUUCGCCAGGAAGUACAAGAAGCUCUUCCGGGUCACAGUUAAUCUAUACCCUGGGAGUUUAGGACAAAGCCACACUGGCUCUCUGGUCUGCACCAGAUCUACAUUUCUUGUGAGGAUCACCAAGGACCCUAACCCCCACCUGUCACAGCCAGCAAGGUGGAGUAACACUCGCAGGAGAGACAAGAGGCGGCGUGAGAAGGACACUAAAGAAGAGAAGGGACGGAGCCUGCCCCAGGAUGUGGCAGGACUGGUGACGUGAAUCCAUUGGUCUGUUGACACAAAGACCCACAGUCUCUGCUCUCAAGAGCAUAUAGUCAACUCAUAGUCUCAUGUAAGUGUGGAGUGUCACUGUGCCACCAACCAUGCUACCUGGACUACGUAUCACUGUACGACCUACUCGGUGCUAGGAGUUCAGCCACUCUUGUCAGAAUCUCCUCUCCAUCUGUUGCUGAGCAUAGAUAAGGUGGUGCUGACCGACUCCGCUACCACUUGGUGCUCUGCCGCCUCCCAAAACCUUCCCUCGUUCACUGCCCUUUCUCCGUGCUCCACCGCCUUCCCACAGGAUCCUCCCCCCUCAUCUGCACCACACAG